rnacentral:lncRNA from 1 species
GUUCAGGCCAUGGAAAGACUACAGGAGACAUGAGGGGAAGUCUGCAGGGGGACUUUUGAGAAACGUUUCCUCACUUCUAAUAAAUAGCUCAGGAAAAUAUGGUUUCUCUUCUUUGUCCAGCUGUGAUGCCUGGGAACUUCUGUGGCAACCUUGCUUCCAGCCAAUACACAGAGUGGGGCAACUCUCAGAAAACCAUUGAGAAGAGAGUCAGAGUGCUGAAGUACCGUGUCUGGAAUCCUGUCUUCCCAACUCCGUGUUUCCUGAUCUAUCAGGAUAUGAGAAGAUGACAGUCUGCAACCCAGAAGAGAACCCUCACAGAACCUGACCAUGCCGGCACCCUGAUCUCAGGUUUCCAGCCUCCAGAACUGUG